CAGCCGCCGCGGUAACACGUAGGGGGCGAGCGUUGUCCGGAAUUACUGGGCGUAAAGGGCGCGUAGGCGGUAGGUUAAGUCGGAUGUGAAAGUCCAUGGCUCAACCAUGGAAUUGCAUAUGAAACUGAUCUACUUGAGUUCAGGAGAGGAGAGCGGAAUUCCUAGUGUAGCGGUGAAAUGCGUAGAGAUUAGGAAGAACACCAGUGGCGAAGGCGGCUCUCUGGACUGUAACUGACGCUGAGGCGCGAAAGCGUGGGUAGCGAACAGGAUUAGAUACCCUGGUAGUCCACGCCGUAAACGAUGAGUGCUAGGUGUUGGGGGUCGAACUCCAGUGCCGCAGUUAACACAUUAAGCACUCCGCCUGGGGAGUACGACCGCAAGGUUGAAACUCAAAGGAAUUGACGGGGGCCCGCACAAGCAGCGGAGCAUGUGGUUUAAUUCGAAGCAACGCGAAGAACCUUACCAGGGCUUGACAUCGUCUGACCGCUUAAGAGAUUAGGCCUUCCCUUCGGGGACAGACAGACAGGUGGUGCAUGGCC
rnacentral:rRNA from 1 species